rnacentral:lncRNA from 1 species
GGGAUUCGCUAGCGGCGCCCUCUAGUGGCGUUUCGCGGAGCCUUGGCGGAAACCCUACUGGGAGCCGGUGUGUCCCCCAGUAACAUUUGCAAAUGAAAGAAGAGGCGACCUGAUGUCUAAUGAUGACACUGCUCUUAUGACCAAAGGAAUGUGAGCUCGUAUAUUCUUUUAGAAUUUCCUAAGGCACUCAUGAAAGGUGGCCGGGUACCACUGUAUCAAUGGCCCAGUUGCCCAUCUCCUGGCGAGAGAUUUCCCUAAGUGACCUGGAAGUGUCACUAUUACCACCGCCCCACAUGAAUCUUGUGCUGGAGGCGACUAGAGCUGUGUGUCCCUCAGCAGAAGCAGGUGGCAUAAGCAAGAGUUCCAUUUUGGUUUCAUUUUCAGAGGACCCCAAUUGCGCAGUCUGCAAGAAAUAAUGUGCCUCUCAGGAUGGUUCCAAGCUGAGCCCAAAUCACUGAGGGAGAUUCACUGCUUGCUAACAUGAACUUUAUUCCUGGAUAAACAAGUCCCAAACCGUCUUGUCCAUAUGCCACCACGGUCAGGUCAAAACACACAUUAUCAGCUGGGUGCGGUGGCUCACGCUUGUAAUCCCAGCACUUCGGGAGGCCGAGGUGGGCGGAUCACUUGAGGUCAGGAGUUGGAGAUCAGCCUGGCCAACAUGGUGAAACCCCGUCUCUACUAAAAAUACAAAAAUUAGCCGGGCGUGGUGGUACGUGUCUGUAGUCCCAGGUACUCAGAAGGCUGAAGACAUGAGAAUCGCUUGAACCCAGGGGGCGGAGGUUGCUGAGCUGAGAUCAUGCCACUGCACUCGAGCCUGGACAACAGAGUGAGAUCCUAUGCCAAAAACAAACAAUAAAAACCAACAACAAAAAA